AUUGAACGCUGGCGGCAGGCCUAACACAUGCAAGUCGAACGAGUGGCGGACGGGUGAGUAAUGUCUGGGAAACUGCCUGGUGGAGGGGGAUAACUACUGGAAACGGUCGCUAAUACCGCAUACCAUCAGAUGUGCCAAGAUGGGAUUAGCUUGUUGGGGGGGUAACGGCUCACCAAGGCGACGAGCCCUAGCUGGUCUGAGAGGAUGACCCGCCACACUGGAACUGAGACACGGUCAAUACUCCUACGGGAGGCAGCAGGGGGGAAUAUUGCACAAUGGGCGCAAGCCUGAUGCAGGCAUGCCGCGUGUAUGAAUAAGGCCUUCGGGUUGUAAAGUACUUUCAGUGGGGAGGCGUUACCCGAAGAAGAAGCACCGGCUAACUCCGUGCCAGCCGCCGCGGUAAUAC
rnacentral:rRNA from 1 species